rnacentral:rRNA from 1 species
UGAGGAAUAUUGGGCAAUGCCCGCAAGGGUGACCCAGCAACGCCGCGUGGAGGAUGAAUGUCGUAAGAUUGUAAACUCCUGUUAGAGGGGAAGAAUAGUGCCGGUUGGACCGGUAUAUGACUGUACCCUCAGAGAAAGCCCCGGCUAACUACGUGCCAGCAGCCGCGGUAAUACGUAGGGGGCAAGCGUUGUCCGGAUUUACUGGGUGUAAAGGGCGCGCAGGCGGGAUAAAAAGUCAGUGGUGAAAUCCUACAGCUUAACUGUAGAACUGCCUUUGAUACUUUUAUUCUUGAGUUCGGGAGAGAGAGACGGAAUUCCAGGUGUAGUGGUGAAAUACGUAGAUAUCUGGAAGAACACCAGUUGCGAAGGCGGUCUCUUGGUCCGACACUGACGCUGAGGCGCGAAAGCGUGGGGAGCAAACA